rnacentral:rRNA from 1 species
GACGAACGCUGGCGGCGCGCUUAACACAUGCAAGUCGAACGAUGAAAUUUCGACAGAUCCCUUCGGGGUGAAGAUGAAAUGGAUUAGCGGCGGACGGGUGAGUAACACGUGAGUAACCUGCCUUUGACAUUGGGAUAGCCUCGGGAAACUGGGAUUAAUACCAAAUGACACUAACUGAUCACAUGAUCAAUUAGUCAAAGAAAUUCGGUCAAAGAUGGACUCGCGGCUGAUUAGCUAGUUGGUGAGGUAACGGCCCACCAAGGCGACGAUCAGUAGCCGGCCUGAGAGGGUGAUCGGCCACAUUGGAACUGAGACACGGUCCAAACUCCUACGGGAGGCAGCAGUGGGGAAUAUUGCACAAUGGGGGAAACCCUGAUGCAGCGACGCCGCGUGAGCGAAGAAGGCCUUCGGGUCGUAAAGCUCUUUUAUGAGGGAAGAUAAUGACGGUACCUCAAGAAAAAGCCCCGGCUAACUACGUG